GCCUCCUUCCCUCCUACACCGGCGCCGCCCUUACCUCGCGCCGACAGCCGCCCUCCCUCGCGCGCCGGCCUCCUCCACCCUCGCGCGCCGGCCUCCUCCACCCCCACGCUCAGGACGCCUUCCUUCCUCCACUCCGGUCACCUUCCUUCCUCCGCUCCGGUUGCCUUCCUCCUCGCGCACCGGCCUCCUCCCUACCCCGCGCUCUAUCUACCUUUCUUCUCGCGCUUCGGCCGUCUUCCUCCCCGCGCUCCGGCCGCCUUCCUCCCCGUGGUCCGGCCUCCUUCCUCCCCGCAAUUAGUCCGCCUCCCUCCCCACGCUCCGUCCACCUUCCUCCCCGAGAACCGUCCGCCUUCUCCCCUGAGAUCCCACGGCCGUACCACCGCCGGCCAACCCCUCCAUCUGUAAGUAAGGGCACUUGGCCGCCCUCCACGCCGGGGUGGCCCUGCUAGCCAUCAGCGGGGGAAGCGGAGUAGCUGCCAUGGCGGGGGUGAAGACGAGUUCAGGAACAACUUUGGCUUGAGGCUGUGCAAAGACCACCGCCCGUCCCUACCUUACCUACAGGCUCAUGGAGCUCAUGGAGCUCGACCUCUCCUCCGUGGCCUCCGUCUGCAAGUUCGCCGAUGACAUCCUCAUAAAAAAGAACAAUGUGUUACUACCAUGGGAGGCUCCCUGCUGGAUGUCGGCGCCGGAGGGGUAUCCCCGCAGCCAUAGACUUCUCUUCUCUCCUGCAAUGCAAGGUAUGGUACUCACACCAGUUCAAGUAAUGAUGUUGCAACAAGUACAGCUCCUCCCCCUGUCAAGCUUAGUGAGCCAAAAAAGAGCAUGUUGAUGGAUGAUUGCUAGCUCGCUUCAUCAUCGGCAGAUUUUCCCGUCUACUAACUUGUGGUUAAUUCCUUCUAUCCUUCUAUCCUUGUGGAUGCCUACAAAAUAUAGUUUUCUGUGCUGCUACUUCAUCAGUCCGUAAUGUGCAUAAGCUGUAGUCCUGGUUGUGUAGAGAAAUGAGGUGUGUGGCUGGUUCACUGUGUGUGUGUGUGUGCAUAUGUGUUAACUGGUGGCCGGUGGUGUGUGUGUGCAGGGUACUGCCGGAGAUAAGUAGUAGGCGGCAAAGUGUUUUGAAGUAGCACCAAGAUGGGGCAUAAAGCUGGCGAGCAGCUAAUUUUUGCCGUGUGCAACUACUGAACCUGGUGUCCUGCUGCUAUUGAACUGUUUUGAUGCAAAUGUCGCUGAUGAACAUACUUUGUGUAGAAAAAGCUACAAAAAAUCACUUUUUCUGGUUGUAAGAAUUUCUAAACUUGCUCUGGUCUAGCAGUUCAACAAAUAUUGAUGUUUGGUUAAUAUUACCACGCUCUACGCAGCGCUUCCACGGGAUCCUCUGCACGCAGUCGGCGUCUCACCUCACGCCGCCGCACGCCAUCUUCCUUGCUUGUCGGUGUCAUACAGGUUUCUUCGGCCGCCGCCUCGCCCUGACCCAACUAUCUCGAAUUUGCGCUGGGACCGGCCUUCAUCGAAGUUUCUCCCAAUCCUUCGACCUCGUCGUGCCAUGCAGCAUGCUUCAGUUCAAGAAAAAUCUCAAUAAAAGUUCAGAGUAGUUCACACUUCAGUUAGCACCUGGCGUCGGCCGAGGCAACAAUCCCCACCUCCCCUGACCAGAUCCUCCAUGGCCCUCGGCCACGAGCUCGUCCACCAUGGUUACUCGCAGUCGUCAAAGUGGAGCACGGACAUCAGUCCAAGUAGAAUUGAAGCCACCAUCUUCACCAUUUUCUUAUCAUUCUCACAUUAUUUUCUUGGUGAAUUAGCAAUUACUGCUAUUGUAGAAAGGAGCUUGUUGGUGUUUCUGUUUCUUUUUGGUAUGUGUUUAUGAGCAUGUGAGGGCAGUGGACAUUUUGUCCUUCUGAUAAUCUCCUUUAAUAAUAACACACACCUCCUCUUAAUGAGAAGAUGUGCAAAACUUUCCAUGACUCUUAAAAAGAGCCGUUUUGCAUAUGUAUAGUUUUGACCUACUUAAAUAUUGAGCCUACCAUUUUUUAUGAGUACCAUGAGUAUAAUGUUGUUCUUUUCCUAGCUGAGUCCGGUGAAGUACUAACAAUGAGUUUUUUGGUCGGCCUUCCAGAUCUGGAGUGGAAGCUUAUAUAUGUUGGAUCAGCUGAAGAUGAGAACUAUUAUCAGCAAUUUGAGAGUGUGCUUGUUGGCCCUGUGAAUGUUGGGACAUACCAUUUUGUUCUGGAGGUAGUUGAAAGGUGCAGACUUGGCAGCGGUGUGGUUCGUUCAACAACAGUGCAAUGACAAAAAGAACAUCAGUUCAAAAAAAUUAUGCAGGAGGUUUGGGAGCCAAACAACUGGAGGUUCAAAGAUUGUCGUGGAGCAAGUUCAAGAGUUUGGUUUCAUGUGAAAAAUGUGAUUUUUUGGUCAGGAUUUUGCAUGAUUGAUAGCCAUCAGUGGCAGCCGGCGAGUAGUUCAAGCCCGCAUGCGCGAGCCGCCCAUCGUCUUCCACACGUGAUCCUAUUGCUUGAUGAUGCUUGACAUGAACUCAACAAGAUGGAUGGAAUUUUUGCAAUGUAAUGUAAAUGAAUAUGGUAAACAAAUUGGGACACCAGAUUGUUUUAGAGGUGGAGUUUGUGCUCCAGUUGAGUUGCAGCAGAUUGUGGCUGUUGGUUGUUUCAAGUGAAGGUGGUCGGGUAUUACUUGUGUAGGACUGAAUGAAUCUUGUAUGUAAAGGAAACUGGAUCGAAUAGUUGUCAGUAUUAAGAUUUAAAAUUACAUUUUGAUCCA